rnacentral:miRNA from 1 species
AUUUCAGUGGUGUGAAGAGUA